rnacentral:misc_RNA from 1 species
UUUUAGUUCUUUCUUCAAAUAGCGUCAGUCUACUUCCGUCUUAUUGGUAAAGUUCAACCACAUAAAUAAGCAUGACUGAGAUGGAGAGGUGAUUUUGCAUGAGCAAGAGUAGUGCUGGUCAAUGGUGGAGCUAGAUGCUUAUCCUGUUGGUGCAAAUAGAAAUCUAUUUAUUCUGUAAUUUUUUUACCCAUUUUAAGUAACUUCCUUCCUUAGAAUCACUGCUUACUCAAAAAAUUCAAUUAGGUAAUCCUUUGCUGAUUUUACCAGAAAAAUUGAGCUCAAUCGUGUAACUUCUUUUAAAUGGAUGGACAUUGAAAAAGCCUUUAGCAGCCAGAUACAGCAAUGUUUAAACUUUAAAUUUUAAUAAUGGUGCAGAUGUUCAUUGAGGAAGUCAUGG